rnacentral:rRNA from 1 species
AUUGAGCGCUGGCGGCAGGCUUAACACAUGCAAGUCGAGCGGAGCGAGGGUGCUUGCACCUUAGCUUAGCGGCGGACGGGUGAGUAAUGCUUAGGAAUCUGCCUAUUAGUGGGGGACAACAUUCCGAAAGGAAUGCUAAUACCGCAUACGCCCUACGGGGGAAAGCAGGGGAUCUUCGGACCUUGCGCUAAUAGAUGAGCCUAAGUCGGAUUAGCUAGUUGGUGGGGUAAAGGCCUACCAAGGCGACGAUCUGUAGCGGGUCUGAGAGGAUGAUCCGCCACACUGGGACUGAGACACGGCCCAGACUCCUACGGGAGGCAGCAGUGGGGAAUAUUGGACAAUGGGCGGAAGCCUGAUCCAGCCAUGCCGCGUGUGUGAAGAAGGCCUUCGGGUUGUAAAGCACUUUCAGCGAGGAGGAAGGGUGGUGUGUUAAUAGCACAUCAUUUUGACGUUACUCGCGGAAGAAGCACCGGCUAACUCUGUGCCAGCCGCCGCGGUAAUAC